rnacentral:rRNA from 1 species
GUGCCAGCCGCCGCGGUAAUACCAGCACCCCGAGUGGUCGGGACGUUUAUUGGGCCUAAAGCAUCCGUAGCCGGUUCUACAAGUCUUCCGUUAAAUCCACCUGCUUAACAGAUGGGCUGCGGAAGAUACUAUAGAGCUAGGAGGCGGGAGAGGCAAGCGGUACUCGAUGGGUAGGGGUAAAAUCCGUUGAUCCAUUGAAGACCACCAGUGGCGAAGGCGGCUUGCCAGAACGCGCUCGACGGUGAGGGAUGAAAGCUGGGGGAGCAAACCGGAUUAGAUACCCGCGUAGUCC